rnacentral:sRNA from 1 species
UGAGCUGCUUAUUGGCUUUAUGGGCCUU